CAGGGUAACAUAUUAAAAAUUGUCCCGACUCUUCCAAGCCAAAUGUCCGAAUUCCUGCAGCACUCCGUAGGAGCCGACCAGGUUUCUUGGAGGGUGAACAAACAGUGAAUAUAUAUUGCGGGAGGGUGCAGAAUAUAA